AUUGAACGCUGGCGGCAGGCUUAACACAUGCAAGUCGAGCGGAGAUGAGGUGCUUGCACCUUAUCUUAGCGGCGGACGGGUGAGUAAUGCUUAGGAAUCUGCCUAUUAGUGGGGGACAACAUUCCGAAAGGAAUGCUAAUACCGCAUACGCCCUACGGGGGAAAGCAGGGGAUCUUCGGACCUUGCGCUAAUAGAUGAGCCUAAGUCGGAUUAGCUAGUUGGUGGGGUAAAGGCCUACCAAGGCGACGAUCUGUAGCGGGUCUGAGAGGAUGAUCCGCCACACUGGGACUGGGACACGGCCCAGGCUCCGACGGGAGGCAGCAGUGGGGAAUAUUGGACAAUGGGCGGAAGCCUGAUCCAGCCAUGCCGCGUGUGUGAAGAAGGACUUUUGGUUGUAAAGCACUUUAAGCGAGGAGGAGGCUACCUGGAUUAAUACUCUAGGAUAGUGGACGUUACUCGCAGAAUAAGCACCGGCUAACUCUGUGCCAGCAGCCGCCGCCGUAA
rnacentral:rRNA from 1 species